AUGCCGAUCAUCGAAGAGUUGCUGGACGAGCUGCACGGUGCAGCCUGGUUCUCCAAACUGGAUCUACGCUCGGGCUAUCACCAGAUUCGCUUGGCAGAAGGGGAAGAGUACAAGACCGCAUUCCAGACACAUUCCGGCCACUACGAGUUCUUGGUGGUUUCCUUCGGGUUAGCGGGUGGACCAGCCAUGUUCAACGGAGCACUGACAACCACCCUGAAACCAGUCAACUGCAAGUGUGUACUCCUCUUCUUCGAUGACAUCCUCGUGUUCAGCAAGACUCUGCGAGACCACAUCAAUCACCUGCGACAAGUUCUGCAGCUUUUGUGCCGAGACCAAUGGCACAUGAAGAUGUCCAAGUGCGAGUUUGGCCAGCACAGCCUAUCAUACCUGGGACACAUCAUUAGCGAUCAGGGGGUGUCCACGGACCCAACCAAGAUACAGGCGGUAUCCAACUGGACGACUCCAACUGAUGUCAAAGCAGUUCGCAACUUCUUGGGGCUCGCUAGGUACUAUCAAAGAUUCGUCAGGAACUUUGGAGUCAUAGCCCGUCCACUAUUCAAUCUCCUGAAGAAAGGGACGCCGUUCAUUUGGACACCAGCCACAGAUACAACAUUCCAGCUCCUCAAACAACAGCUGAUCGAAACACCAAUUCUGGCGCUGCCAACUUCACCAAACCAUUCGUGA
rnacentral:rRNA from 1 species